rnacentral:ncRNA from 1 species
UUAAUAUGUACGCGAGUCAUUAGAAUAAAAAAACUUAAAGGCGAAAUGAAAGUGAAGAUCGGACUUUGUGCCGAUCGAGGGAAGAAGAGCCGCGGCCACGCACUCCCAGGGCGCCUCGUUUUCACUGCGAGAAAAGACGCAUUGAGAGCGUACACGUUGGGAUCCUAAAGAUGGUGAACUAUGCCUAUCAGGAAAAAGCCUGAUGAAAGUCCGUAGUGAUUCUGAUGUGCAAAUCAAUCGUCGGAACUAGGGGCGAAAAACUAAUCCAACUAUCUAAUACCUGG